GAGAAAUCCUGGAAGGGUGGGAGUCUGGAUUUUGGUUAUUUGACCUUUUUUUUUUUUUUUUAGAAGGUUUUGCACUGUCCUCUCUCCUCACCUGAAUCUCCUGAUCUGUCUCUGGGAGGUUGACCACCCCUUGCAUGUUAUGCUGCUUCUUAAGGCCCCUUUGGACUUUUCAGACCAGAUCCUGUGCAUGUCAACACUGAAGAAAGAAAGCAGGCUUGAAAAAACAAGCAUGGGCUAUGCAAACAAUUUCUCCUCAUACAGGUCAUUGAUGCCAUGACUCAGAAGAGGAAAAUGGAACUCAGGAUGCCAGGCAAACA
rnacentral:lncRNA from 1 species